rnacentral:rRNA from 1 species
UACAGAGACUGCAAGCGUUAUUCGGAUUCACUGGGCGUAAAGGGUGCGCAGGCGGCCAAGUGUGUUAGGCGUGAAAGCCCGGGGCUUAACCCCGGAAUUGCACCUAAAACUACAUGGCUAGAGCAUUGGAGAGGGUAGCGGAAUUCACGGUGUAGCAGUGAAAUGCGUAGAUAUCGUGAGGAACACCAGAGGCGAAGGCGGCUGCCUGGACAAUUGCUGACGCUCAGGCACGAAAGCGUGGGGAGCAAAAGGG